rnacentral:rRNA from 14 species
UCAUCACGGCCCUUACGUCCUGGGCUACACACGUGCUACAAUGGCCGGUACAGAGGGCUGCAAUACCGCGAGGUGGAGCCAAUCCCUUAAAACCGGUCGUAGUCCGGAUUGGAGUCUGCAACUCGACUCCAUGAAGUCGGAAUCGCUAGUAAUCGCGAAUCAGAAUGUCGCGGUGAAUACGUUCCCGGGCCUUGUACACACCGCCCGUCACACCAUGGGAGUUGGGUUCACCCGAAGGCCGUGCGCCAACCUUUCGAGGGGGCAGCGGACCACGGUGAGCUCAGCGACUGGGGUGAAGUCGGAACAAGGUAGCCGUAGGGGAACCUGCGGCUGGAUCACCUCCUU